AAUAAAAAUUAAAUAAUAUAAAUAAAUAGGAAGGAGAUAGAACAGAUUUUCGUUCUCAUGGCCCACAGGUCAAGAACCACUGCUGUAGUUUGAAGCCAUUGUUCUGCGUCCUAGUUUCCAGGGCAGUAGAAAACAAGCUUGCUCCCUCCUCCCAAUGAUUUCCCUUCACAUAUUUAUACAUGGUCCUCAUCAUGUCUCCUCUCGGCCUUCUCUUCUGAGGGCUAAACAUGCCCAGCUCUUUAAGCCUUUCCUCAUAGGGCUUGUUCUCCAGACCCUUGAUCAUUUUAGUCACCUUCCUCUGGACACAUUCCAGUUUGUCAAAAUCUCCCUUCAAUUGUGGUGCUCAGAAUUGGACACAGUGUGAUUCCAGGUGUGGUCUGACCAAGGCGGAAUAGAGGGUAGCAUGAUUUUCCUAAAUCUAGACACUAGACUCCCUAUUUAUGCAGGCCAAAAUCCCAUUGGCUUUUUUUGCCACCGCAUCGCAUGGUUGGCUAAUGUUUAACUUGUUGUCCACGAGGACUCAGUAUCGUUUUCACAUACUGCUGUCGAGCCAGGCAUCCCCCAUUCUGUAUCUUUGCAUUUCAUUUUUUCUGCCUAAGUGGAGUAUCUUGCAUUUGUACCUGUGGAACUUAAUUUUGUUAGUUUUGGCCAACCAUCUCUCUAAUCUGUUAAGAUCGUUUUGAAUUCUGCUCCUGUCUUCUGGUGUAUUAGCUAUCCUGCCUAAUUUGAUAUCAUCUGUGAACUCGAUUACCAUUCCUUCCAACUUUCCAUAAAUCAUUAAUAAAGAUGUGGAGCAGAACCAGGCCCAGGAUAGAACCCUGUGACACUCCACUCGUCACAUCUUUCCAGGAUGAAGAAGAAGCAUUUCCCUUCUCUCCUUUGCCCCACAAAACAGGCAUUUUCAGAUGGAAUUCCAAUAAGAACUUCUUCGCCCUUUUUUCUGCAUGGUGUCUUUUCAGGCCAUUUAUUUAAUUUAUAUGCCACCUUUCAGUGGGCCCUUGGAGGCUUCCAAAAAUGAUAUAGGUACAACCCCCCCCCUAAUUAAAAAUGACUCAUAGUUAAGAACAAAAGUGAGACAACAGGGAGGGAAAUCUAUCCUUAGGAAGGGAAAUUCACUCCUGAAAGAGUAAUCGGGGGAAGAGUUGUCUCCACUGGAGCUUCAUCACCAAUCCUUGUUUCCACAACAAGCUACAUUUUCCAAAAUCCAAUUAUGACAGCGACAGAAAAGGAGGUGAAAUCUCAACAGGGGCGCAGACAGCAAAACAAACCCCACAGGGGUGUUGACCCUUAUGCUAUCCAAAGCAUAUAUAUAUAUAUAUAUAUAUAUAUAUAUAUAUAUAUAUAUAUGUAGUUAAACUUUAAAAAUGCACCUGUUCCAACAAAAUAUACGUGACAAUAAACCCAGAGAAUCAAUCUUUUUCAUAACUUGAGGAUCUGCCUGUAAAUUAAAAAUGCUUAUCCCCCCCACACCCCAAAACAGCCUGUCUUUAGAAAAAGUAAAAUUCAAGUAAUAAUCCCUUCAUGAUUUCACUGUUUGUUUGUUUGUUUAAUGUAUAUGUCUCCUUUCAGAGUGGGACUUUACAAUUAAAAACAAUUAAAAUGUUAUAAUACAAUUUAGAAUCAAUUUAAAAUAUUCAGUUGUUGGAUAAGAUUGGUAAAACAUGCCCGACAAAAAGCCACCCCACCUUAUAGCCUAAAAGCUUGUAAGAGACCUUUUACAAAUACCAACACAGGGAGCCCUAGCUGCCCUAGCUGAGGAGCCAUCUCCUUAUCGCCCCAAAGCAGCCUGUUUUCAGACAUGAUAAAAUGUUAGUAACAAUUAAAUUGUAUCAUAAUACAUUUUAAAACCAACUUGAAAUAGUUUAAUAACAUUAGUGAAACAUGCAAUAAAAAGGCACCCACAUUAUAUAACAUUAGCUUGGUAAGUGUCUUUUAGAAGCACAAACACACACCUUGCCUGUAGAGAGCAAGGUGCCCUGGCAUCAUGUAGUAAAGGCUGAGGAAGCACUUUUUCUCUCCUUGUCCCUCACAAAACCGGCUUCUUUCAGACAUGAUGAAAUUCCAACAUGGGAGUAAUACCCCCUUCCCCAGAGGAGUUUGUUUGUCAAAUGUUGUGUCUUUUUAGGUGAUUUACAUGUGAUUAUAUUUAUGAAUGUUUUCCCAGGAUUUUUAAUGUACUGUACUGCCUUUCAAUGGGACCAAAGGCUGCGUUUGAAACAAAAAAAUUAAAAACAUUUGCCAUGCAAUUUAAAAAAUUGUAUUAUAAUAACAUUUUAAAAUCAAUUAAAAUAUAGAAAAGUGUGAUAUGAUUAGUAAAGCAUGCCCCAUUAAAAAUCCACCCAUCGUAUGUUCAAAAACCUUGGUCAACUAAAGAUGCCUGUCGAUGAAAGAACAACAGAAAGAGAGUUUGAAAGGUGGGAGCAGCCACUAAGGAGGCUCUCCUGCCCUCACCAAGACGACUGAUGAUGGUAACAGGACCAAGAGAUAGUCUUCCCCUCAGGAUCUUAGUGGGACAUUUAGGGCUUUUUGUCCUAAGAGUCUAGAUGAUUAUGGUGCAAACUGAAAACACAAAUCUGUUCCAUUCAGUUAAGGGAUGCAUAUUUGUAAACCUGGUUCAUGUCCCUUCCCCCCAAAAGAGAAGGGUUCACAGUGAAUCAGGAGAAAGGGUGAACAAAUGUGUAAUAUAUUCAAUUGAGAAUAUUAUAUACAGAUCAAAACAUGCCAAAUGAUUUUGGUACAAGGCUUGGAAAAUUGUAUUUUAUAGCAAAAGAAUACAUAUCUUCAGCCGAAUUUUUUGAUUCCUGGAUUCGGUACCUUUUGGAAUCCCAUGGAUUCGGUACCUUUUGGAAUCAAGCCUCACAUUUGUAUUUACCUACAUCUAAAUCAUUUAAGCCUUAUAUGUGAUGUCCCCUACUCAUUGUGGCUGCAUUCUGUACACACCUGGGAACAAGCCCUAUUACAUGCAGCAGACCUUCUGGGUAGACACAAGCAGGAUUAUACUGUAUGUGUCUGAGGGUUAUGCAAGUUGAGAGACACACAUGGCUCAUCCAGGUGCUUGAGAAGAUUCUUGUAUUGGAACAAUUUAUUAAGAUAGAUAACUACCUUUGGUGUUUUUGCAAAUUCUCAAACAGGCACUGUUAAGCAUACUAACAAUUAGUGGUGUUCUAAAAGUGUUUUUUUCCACAGCAUAUGUGAUUUAAGAGAUAUCCUGAUAGCAUUUUAAGAUUUGCAGAAAACAAAUAAUUCAUUGUGCCCCAAGCAUGAGCCAUCAGGUUGGUGGAUGCCAUGGCAACCUGUAACUGAGGUGGCAACUGUCUCUGGGUUUUAUUUUUAAAUAAAAAGUAAUGUAAUUGCUUGCAUAGAACUUGGAUAUCUGAGAGCCAGUAACAUUGCACUAUUGAAAAGAUGCUACAAAGAUAAAGGAUCUUGAUUAUAACUAGCUUACAGUUUUCCCUAUGUUUUAAGUAGGAUUAGUGUGUAUUACUGAUAAUAUUUUAGGGUUUGGUACUUUGCCAUGCAUGGUGAUAGCUUCUUGUGAAAUAGCUAUAAUAAUUACAGUAGAGUCUCACUUAUCCAAGCUAAACGGACCGGCAGAACCUUGGAUAAGCGAAUAUCUUGGAUAAUAAGGAGGGAUUAAGGAAAAGCCUAUUAAACAUCGAAUUAGGUUAUGAUUUUACAAAUUAAGCACCAAAACAUCAUGUUAUACAACAAAUUUGACAGAAAAAGUAGUGCAAUGCGCAGUAAUGUUACAUUGCAAUUACUGUAUUUACGAAUUUAGCACCAAAAUAUGAUAUAUUGAAAACAUUGACUAACAAAAUGCCUUGGAUAAUCCAGAACCUUGGAUAAGUGAGUCUUGGAUAAGUGAGACUCUACUGUAUUUCAUUUUUUAAGCCCAAACUUACUUAUAAAUAAAAAAAGAUUCCAGUCACCCUAAGACCCCCUAACAAAAUGUCAUCCGAGAGACUUACAGCCUGAAAUAUACAACAAAAGAAAGGUUUGGAUACGAGGAUGUCUGAGUAGGAGAAACACCUUGUUAAAAACAUAUAGUAAACAAAUUGAAUGGAAAAUGUUCAGAGAGAUGAGUUAGUAUUUCAGCAUUGCUGAUGGAGUAUGUCCUGCUUUCUAUAUUUCAGGUUGCAGAAUUUAAGCAAAAAGUAAUGCACAUGUUAAACUUGAGUUUCCUUUGUGUUCUGGUCUUGAAGAAUAGACAGGAUAUGAAUUAUGACAAAUAACAAAUAUGCAGGAAAAUGAAGAGAAAUGUAUGAAAUAGCUAGGUACAUGUUAAAGCAACAUGAAUAUUGAAAUUAUCAUUUCGGUAUUCAGAAGCUAUCAGUCUAGUUUUGGAAUCUAUAUAUUCAUUUUGUCUAUACCUAUCUGGCUUGUUUUAGUCAAUGUGGCAUUUUGGACCAGAAAUUCAGGGGACUAGUGUUCAAAUCCCUGUUUUGGAUCUUUAAGAACCUGUAUUGAUAGGUUUUGUUUUCAGUGAAGGAAUUAUAUUUUGUGGCUUUUUAGAUUGUUUUCAACUACAUUUAGAUCAAAUGAAUAGUAGCAGUGACAUUCUAAAAUCCAUUCAUACUGAUAAUAUAAACUUGGCCAAAUAAAAUUUGUAACACAGGGAUGAAAAGACAACUAUUUAGUUAUGCUACUGAGCGUUUUCAUUUUAAGGCCACACAGUGGGGAAAUGGCAGCCCAUUUAGGAAAAGAUGGAGAUACUCACAACAGAUAAGACCAACUUUGGUGAUACUGUACCAUUAAACCUUUAGUUGUCAAUGCUUUCAUGUUGAACAAGCUCAACUCUGAAAAAUUACAGCCACUUAUCUGUAAUCUGAUCGUAGUUGCAAUUUGUUCUAAAGUAGGACUGGGAAACCUGCAGCAUUCCUCACUGUUGAAUAUUGGCUAUGUCUGAUUUUAUACUUCUGGGGGACUAUAGGUUUCCUGAUCCUAUCCCAGGGAAGUCAUGACCAAGAUCUCUUAAUGAAGUUCAAAUAUUUGAAAAUUUUGCAUCUCUUACUUGAAAGUGGUGUAAGUCAUAUCCUUUAUCUAUGUUCCCCAUUUAUAUGUAAAUGUUUUCCUUAAAGACCAUUUUCAUUAUGUGUGAUAGAUUCAUCUUAUUUUCCACAUUCUAGUGAAAUUUAUAUUCCAUAUUUAGAAAAGAGGGGGAAACCACAGGACAUCGCAAUGGGUAAUGGGGCCGAAAUCGGAGACACCGAACCUGAUUGUUAAUCUAUCCGACUAUAAGUUAUCUGAUGUAGAAAGGUCAGUAGUAAACAAAGGUCUAUCAUUUGUUCCCACCCCUAAAUUUAAUGCAUUUCGAGCACGAAUAGAUUUAUUCAAGCUAUUUAGAACCAUCCGCUUAAGAGACAUGUUUAAAGACAGCAUAUCCAACACAACCACAGAUCCUUUCAAACCUAAAAGUACCUUCUGCCCUUCCACAGAUAACAUUUACAUUAAAUGCUUUGAAAAAGCUGUAGAGAGGGACUUUAACAAGCUAACUACUCGUAGACAACCAUACCACUCAAAUUUAUCAGAAUUAGAAAGAACCACUCUGGUCAAAUUGAGCAACCUUAAAGAGGUAGUCUGGAAACCAGCAGAUAAAGGGGGAGCUAUAGUAUUACUUAACGAAAGAGAUUAUAUUAAGGAAGUCAACCUCCAGUUAUCAAAUAGUAAAUUCUACCAACCUAUUGCAACAGACCCCACUAAACACAUUCAGUCCCUUAUUAGGGUGGUGUGUCAAGAGGGAUUAUCCAUGGGAUUUAUUUCUUCUUCUACAUUUAAAUACUUACAAAAUGACUUCCCCAGGAUACCUAUCUUUUAUAUUCUUCCUAAGAUUCAUAAAGGCAUCACUCCACCCCCAGGCCGACCUAUUAUUUCUGGUUCAUCUUCUGUAUUGGAACCAGUUGCUAAAUAUCUAGACUCCUUUUGCCAACCAUUUGUCCCUCUCUGUGAUUCCUAAAGACACAAAGCACUUCAUUAAUAUCGUAGAAAAUCUCAAAAUUGAGGAGGACAGCAUUUUAGUUACGAUUGAUGUCACCUCACUCUAUACUAACAUUCCACUAGAUGAGGCUCGUACCAUCAUAGAGAAUAUCCUUCGUAGGAGAACAAAAUUGCAACCACCUACACAUUUCUUGAUGGACCUGUUAGAUAUAGUACUGGAGAAAAAUUAUUUCCGUUUUCAAAACCAAUUUUACUUUCAGACCUUCGGUGUCGCUAUGGGAAGUCCGUUAGCCCCAUCGAUUGCCAAUCUAUUCAUGGCACAUUUAGAAAACACUAUAUUGCUUAAUCCAUCUUUAAAUAUGUACUAUGCUAAUAUAACAUACUAUGGCCGAUUUAUUGAUGAUAUAUUCAUAGUAUUUAAAACAACUGAGGCCGCAGUAGGAUUCUCUAAUUGGAUUAACACUAUACAUACGUCUAUUAAGUUUACCAGUCAUCUCAACCUGUCACAUAUCAAUUUUUUAGAUGUUACUGUGUAUAAAUAUCAUAACAAACUUUUGGUCAAGAACUUCAGAAAACCAUCAGAUAAAAAUUCUUUUCUUCAUUAUAACAGCUUCCACCACUUUGGUUUAAAGACCAAUCUUCCAUUCACAACUACUUAGACUAAAGCGUAACUCAAGCUCUAAUGAACACUUCAUUCAUGAAAGCCUGACCUUAAGCCAGGAGUUUAGAAGUAGAGGCUAUCCUAAACAUGUCAUCAAAAAGGCAUUAAUUAAAGCUGAAAAAACUGAUAGAACCACCCUACUGAAAGAAUCUGCUAAACCAACUAAAAAUCAAAUUAUCUGGACACAAGAAUUAUCGCAUUACUCCAAACACGUAAUCCAAAUUAUAAAAAAGCACUGGCAUCUUCUUCAAGAUAUUUCAGGUUGUGAUAAAUUACCUAUUUUUUGAAACAGGCGUACUAAAAAUAUUAGAGAAUAUUUAAUCCAUACAGAUUUAAUCACUCCCAUUAGUACACCGAAGAGCACCCUGAGAGGCCAUUAUCCUUGUGGUCACUGUAAGUGUUGUCCUCAAUCUUGGAAGACUAAGGAGAUAUAUAAUCAUAGGAACAAAGUGGGCACCACACUAAAACAUUUUUCUACUUGUAAUAGCAGCAAUGUAAUCUACCUCUUGACAUGUGACUGUGAUCUCUGGUAUAUCGGAAAAACAACCAGAUCCUUGAGAAUCAGAAUCUCUGAACAUAAAUCCAGAAUCAAAAAUUUAUCUACAGAAUCUCUUUUAUAUUCACACUUCACCCAAUACAAACAUUCAUCUACCUCAUUUAAAUUUUGUGCUCUGGAAUGCAUCUCUCAAAAACCUUUCAUGGACUUGGAAAAACUAUUAUCCCAAAGGGAAAUGUACUUGAUCUUUAAGUUUAAAACCUUUUCCCCUCAGGGACUUAAUGAAUCACUUAAUUUUAGCUGUUUCCUUUAAACCUUCAAGUACUCUUUAAAAACCUUUGAAUGAACCUCCAGAAUUACUCGCAGUUGAAAUCACCACAAGCAGAGUCACUCAGUGAAAGCAUUUAGCACUAUGUAAGUAUAAUACUGUUAUAUGGGUUACCUUUACUUCUGUUAAUACUGCUGGUAAAAUACUUGUUACUCUAUGUUUUGUUUUAGAUAGAAAUUCAUUGUUGCUGAGUUUAACAACUCCUGAAGAAGGGGUUUUUCCCUGAAACAGGGUCAAAAAUACCCGGGACCCCUGUAGACUUGGGACUUUAUUUGGACUUUACUUUUGAAGACAUUUUUGAGAGCGGUGCUCCAUCAUUAUUUUCUUCAAUCCAGUAUACAGCAACACGACCAACCAUCUGUUUGGAAGAUAUUUUCAUUGACUGUAUCCCUGAAGCCUAUAUGUAUUGGAACCAAUACCAGACUUGAACAACUUUUGUGUUAGAGCUGUUGCUCCUUUUCAUUUUGUCGGGUACGGCCAAAUUGAGCUUUGUACGGGGAACUGUAACAAUAUAUGUCAUUUGGACACAUUUUCUUUGUACAUAGACAAUCGUUUGUGUGUAUAGAAUGUCUAUGUCAGUACACGUUAUGUGAUAACAGGUCAAAAUCUAGUUACUUCAUUAUUUAGUCUUAUUUCCCUAUUAUUUUCAGUUGUAUUAAGAGAAAUCUACUUGACAGAUUUUUUAAAUACAGAGUAGGCUGUUGACAUCAAUGACAUCAAGGGAUACACUCCUAAACUCACCAUGGAAACAAGAAGCUAUGGAUAAUAGUGAACCCUAUUAAAAUAAACAACUUCUGCCAGAGGUUACUACAGAGUUGCCCUGGAGAACCUAGCAAAUUCCUAGAGGGAUCUCCUCUUUAGAAAAGUGUUAACGCUUUCCAGGUUGAUUCUGUGGUAACUUCUGAUGGAAGUACUGUAUACUAUAGAAUUGCCUGGGAAACCUACAGUUCCCAAUAGAGAACAUAUUUUGGUUGAUACAGGAAAGUGAGAGUUGUACUCUAGUUAGAUGAGACCUACUGAAAUUAUUAAAUAUGUGUUAGUAAUGAUUAAUGAUUCCCAUUGAUUUUCAAUUACUAUAGUUGGAAUCCAUCCCAUAAAGUUUUAGUGUGUAGGAGAAGUGCUUGCCCUUGUCUAAUAUUAGUACUGCUACCCAAAUUCUAAACCCAUUCUUCAUUGCAAAACUGGAUCCAGUGCAUCAUGAUCAAAACACAGUAAUCAAGAGCAACAGUGCAAUAAAACUCCAUUCAUUAAACAUUAUGACAUUAUUAUGUCCUAUAACAGCCAGCAUUUGACAUCAGAUGAUUGUUAAGCAGGAGAGAGGCUGAAGCAUGUGGAAGGAAACCUACAACUGGUAGACAGACCCCCUUUCAAGAAUUCACUCAAUCUGCUGCAUGUGAACACUCCUUUUUUCAGACUGAUGCUGAAUUGCCAGGAAGUUUGAACAUAUGUUCUUACACUUAUUGGUGGCUGACUCUUCAUUUGCUGGGCUUAGAAACCCCAGACAGAGAACAUGCAUUGAGGACGAGUCUUUUGGUAGUAUGGUUGCACAGUAUGUGGGGAGGAAGCAUGAACUUAGUACAGUGCAGAAAUGUGGGGAGGAAGCAUGAACUUAGUAUAGUGCAGAAAUGGUGCCAUUGUGGUUGAUUCAUGAUAGUAAAGUCCCCCAAACACCUUGGGAGUGUCUUGUUGA